rnacentral:rRNA from 1 species
AACGUAGGACACAAGCGUUAUCCGGAGUUACUGGGCGUAAAGAGCUCGUAGGCGGCUCGGUAAGUCGGAUGUGAAACCUCCAGGCUCAACCUGGAGACGCCAUCUGAUACUGCCGUGGCUUGAGUCCGGUAGAGGAGCAGGGAAUUCCUGGUGUAGCGGUGAAAUGCGCAGAUAUCAGGAGGAACACCAGCGGCGAAGGCGCUGCUCUGGGCCGGUACUGACGCUGAGGAGCGAAAGCGUGGGGAGCGAACAGG